rnacentral:misc_RNA from 1 species
CAAUAAUAUGCUGUAUAGGUUUAAAUGUUUAGUGACAACGAAUCUUGAUAAGACUGGAAAAAAGUUCCAAAAUUUUGAGUUCAGUCAAAUGAUCAGAUCUCAGUCAACCUGAGAAGUGUAAUGAAUUAGGGCUCGUUUUUGCAGUUUAUAACACCUAAGUUAUUUUCUGGCAGUUUUAAAUUUGAGCUGAAAACUGUUAUUUCUUCCCAUUAAUUGUUUUGAUAAUUAGUAAUUUAAAAUAUCGCCUGUAUCUGAGAUUAAGAUACCGAUCAUGAAGGUAUUACUUACAUUUCUUGCCUUUUGCGGCUUUAUUUACGCUUCCAGUGCUUAUGUUUCAGAGAAGGAUGUGCUGAAAGAAGAAUGGGAAGCCUUCAAGCUUGAAUUCAAGAAACUAUAUGAAGAAACCGAAGAUGCUUUCAGGAUGAAAGUUUUCAUGGAAAAUAAGCA